GUUGUUCGGAAUUAUUGGGCGUAAAGCGCGUGUAGGCGGCCAAUUAAGUCGGGUGUGAAAGCCCUCAGCUUAACUGAGGAAGUGCGCCCGAAACUGCAUGGCUUGAGUACCGGAGAGGAUGGCGGAAUUCCCCAAGUAGAGGUGAAAUUCGUAGAUAUGGGGAGGAACACCGGUGGCGAAGGCGGCCAUCUGGACGGAUACUGACGCUGAGACGCGAAAGCGUGGGUAGCAAACAGG
rnacentral:rRNA from 1 species